AUUAUGUGUCAACACAGUUUCUUCAACGUGUCAGAGCAGAUAAGUAUCAUUGAUUGGACUGCUGGGGUCCCUAUAGAAACAUGUAGAUGGAACCAGAAUACCUCAAGAACGGAGUGUGAGGUCCAAAAUCACGGACAUCCUCUUGGAAUUGAUGGCUUCAUUACAAAAUAUACCCCAGGGCUAAGGUUUUUAUGCACUAUGGACAGACAAAGCGUUGAACUGGUUUUGGAAGCAGGUGGGUUAACAAGUGGACACGAUGACCAACGGAUUUGCUUUAGUGUUUAUAUCAUUAUAUUUGUAGCUAUGCUAUUGUCAACUCUUAAAUUAGCUUGAUUUAUUCAUGUUUGGUAAAUAUGUCCUUUAAAGUAGUCUGAUCCUCGGGUUUAUAAAAUUAUUAAUUAAGGAAUCAAAAAUACUCAUAAAAGUAUCCCUAAAUCCACAAAAUUAUGUAAAUUUAUCCACAGUAUUUCUUUAGAGUUAAAGAUGAAAGUUAAUCAUAUUUUAUAGGGGAAGUUGUCAAAUCUCCAAUAUUUUUGCAGAAGAAGCGAAUUGGAAUAUCAGCAAUGCAUUUUCUAAUUGCAAAUUUAUCAACAUAUAUAUUUUAGGUUAAAAAACGAUCGGUAUCCAGGCAUUCAGAGAAAUUGCCAUGAUUUUUAUACUUGUUUGGUAUUUUUUGUUUUCUAUUUCCGUCAUGUAUUCUAUAAUACAUAGUGUAAAAGACUUUUGCUAUCAUUGCAAGACGCCACAAAUUACUUCUUGUUUCAACCAUGCUAAUAAGCAUUGGUAUCUAAGGCUGGAUUUAAGAAAGUCUUAUUUCUAUAAAACUGUAAUAUUUUUUUUCCCUUUUAUAGGGUACAAAUGUCAACUUUUAUAAGACCUUUUCUAAGACUUCCAAAAACCUUGAAUCUUAUAAAGAUGAAUGUAAUGAAAAUUGUUGCAUAAAAAAAUGUCAUUUCCAAGGUUCAUUUUGAUGCAUUUCAAAUUAAAUAUUCAUUUUUAGAGUUAUCCUUCCUGGCUGAUGAUCGGAUAUCCUUAAUCAAAGAAAGAGAUUUAUAAGUAAAUUUUCCUGGAAAAUACAUUUCUACAUGUAUACCUUUUUUAAACUUACGCUUUAUGUAUAUAACUUAUUGUAUUCACGAAUACAGAUAUGUUGGACAAAAUUCAAUUCAUUGAGAAUAACAAAGGUAUCUUUCAAAUUGUAAAGGAUGCCUACAACUGGCUAGUUAUUUUACCGUUUUGUAGAGUCUUUCUAUAGCUUAAUUAUUUUCUGUAUGGAAAUUUUGUAUAUGCAAAUAUAUAUCUGUAUAUAGACAAAAUGAUGUAUAUCCAUGUAUUCACCUAAUUGCUUUAACAUGCGAUUCUAGGUUCCCCUGUCUUUGAUAUUUUAUAUGCACAAUGUAUA